AAUACGGGAAUUAUAUCAUGCAGUGUGUGCUUGGAGGAGUUUCAGACUCUGAUAACAUAUCUUUCUGAACCUGUGGACGUUUACAGAGACUGGAUUGAUGCCUGCGAAGCAGCCAAUCAGUAGUCAUGUUUACCUAGCUCACACCUUCAGUUUAACCUCACCCUGGGUUCACCUAAUGUAGCCAAACAGUUUGUUUUCUCUGAGUUGUGUCACAUUCUUAGUUCCACAUUUGCUGACUAGGUCACAUUCCUCUGGGUCAGAGUGACGCCACACGGACAGUGACUGGUCUCCAUCACGGUUCACAGUGUAGAUGUAAACAUGUUCAAUGAUUGUAUUUUGUAAGUCAAGAUUUAAUUUGUAUUUCCUGUUAUGGACCAAACUGUCAUGGAGUUUUCUCACCAUUUUGUAUUUUUUAAAUGUUUUUUUUCUUUAAACAAAAAUAUAAUCAGUCAUUUCCUUUUCUCUCUAAUAUUCUGAAGUUUGAGAAUGGACGUUUUUUAAUUUUUUUUUUUUAGGUUUUGUCAAGUUUCGACCUUUAUCAAUAAAGCACUGACAAACUUUUCCAAUUUUUUUUUAACCCUGUGGAUCCACAAUCACAUACUUGCUUUCACACCACUGUGAUAUAUUUUGAAUUUUGUACCUUUUAGGUGCUGACAGUGAUUAAAACAAUAAAAACACAGUCACCAUUUUCAAGUGUUUUUAUUGCACACAUGCCAUUUUAGUGAAAGGCAGAGGAGGGGAUAGAUUAGCCUAAAUAUUGGGACAAAAAAAACACAUUUUAGGGUGAAACCGUUCUUUACAAUAAGUCUGUGCUAUUGUGGUGAUAGGACGAAAAUAUUUUCUUUAAGGCACAAUCCGAAAAA